rnacentral:rRNA from 1 species
UACGUAGGGUGCAAGCGUUGUCCGGAAUUAUUGGGCGUAAAGAGCUCGUAGGCGGUUUGUCGCGUCUGCUGUGAAAAUCCAGGGCUUAACCCUGGACCUGCAGUGGGUACGGGCAGACUAGAGUGCGGUAGGGGAGAUCGGAAUUCCUGGUGUAGCGGUGAAAUGCGUAGAUAUCGGGAGGAACACCAGUGGCGAAGGCGGCUCACUGGCCCGGUACUGACGCUGAGGUGCGAAAGCGUGGGGAGCAAACAGG